rnacentral:rRNA from 1 species
AGAGUUUGAUCCUGGCUCAGGAUGAACGCUGGCGGCAUGCCUAAUACAUGCAAGUCGAACGAGGAUCCUUGUGGAUCCUAGUGGCGAACGGGUGAGUAACACGUAGGGAACCUGCCCGCGCACCGGGAAUACGCUCUGGAAACGGAGAACAAAUCCCGAUGUACAGGAAGGAGGCAUCUUCUUUCUGUGAAACAUCCUGUAAGGGAUGGGGCGCGGAUGGACCUGCGGUGCAUUAGUUGGUUGGCGAGGGUAAAGGCCCACCAAGACGAUGAUGCAUAGCCGGCCUGAGAGGGCGGACGGCCACAUUGGGACUGAGACACGGCCCAGACUCCUGCGGGAGGCAGCAGUAGGGAAUUUUCGUCAAUGGGCGCAAGCCUGAACGAGCGCUGCCGCGUGAGUGAAGAAGGCCUUCGGGUCGUAAAGCUCUGUUGCGGGGGAAAAAAGGCAUCUGCAGGAAAUGGUAGAUGACAGAUGGUGCCCCGCCAGAAAGUCACGGCUAACUACGUGCCAGCAGCCGCGGUAAUACGUAGGUGGCGAGCGUUAUCCGGAAUGAUUGGGCGUAAAGGGUGCGCAGGCGGUCCUGCAAGUCUGGAGUGAAACGUAUGAGCUCAACUCAUGCAUGGCUCUGGAAACU